rnacentral:lncRNA from 10 species
GUGAAGACUUUUAAAAUAGAGACCAACGUGGCCGGGCAGGAAGAGCAGGGUCCCGCCUUCAGGUGUUUGGGACUCAGCUGAGGGUGUGGGUGCCCCGCGGUGGGGGCUGAACCUUCCUGGGGUGUGGAGAGACGAAAGGAGCCCAGAUCCAAGUUCCCUCGUUCCCGCUUUGGCAUAAGUUGCCCUGGCGGUCUCAUGAGAGAGAGAAAGAGCUGGGACCCUCCUCGCCCCAGUGAGUGUGAUGUCUUGCUCCGGGUGUCCUGGGGCAACUUUCUAUACAGGCGGGACGUGGGAGGAUCAGACAGUGUAACAUCAGACAAGGGUGUUGACUCUGCAGCACAGAACCAGUAGUUUGUGGAGAAGAAUGGAGGUGUGGUGUUGAAUCUGCUAGACAGGCUACUGAAGCAAAAGUCAAGAGAUCCAGAUUCCAUCAUGGGGACACUUUAGCUGUUGUAAAAAGGAUUGAGUUCUUGAUUGAUUCCCAGCUUGGUCAUUGGUGUAUAGCAGUGCUACUGAUUUGUUUACAUUCAUUUUGUAACCUGAGACUUUACUGAAUUCGUGUAUCAGAUCUAGGAGCCUUUUGGUUCUUCAUCGGGUAAUUGAGCUGAUAUCAGGUGUCUGAAGGAGGCAAGUUUUGAAGAUGUGGGUCAUGAUGGCUGCUGAAGCUUCCACUCCAUAUUUGAAGGUCAGCAGUUCUCAGGAAACCUCUAGCACUUCCAUCCCUGGUGGGAUGUGAUGCCUGUCUCAGUGUAACAUCAGAGAAGGGGUGUACUCUGUGCCCUAGAACUAGGAGCUAACAGAGAAAAACCAAAUGUGAUGUGGAGUCUGCUAGACAGGCUACUGGAGCAAGAGUGAAGCGAUGAAAGUCUCAUCAUUGGGACAUAUUAGGGAGGCAGCAGGUGGCUGAAAUCCUGGUGUGAUGUGGCUGGAUCAUGCAUGAUCUGAGGACUCCUGCACAGGUGACUGCAGGAUGAGUACAGAAUUUUUCUAUAAAUAUACUAAAAUACCAAGUAAGCCAGGAGCAGCCACUAGGCAAACACCAAACCUUGCAUUCCUGGCCAAACCUAUCACAGAGCUCAUCAGGUAAGUUCAAAGACACACCUGUCUUCCCAGCAUUGGGAACUGGAUUGGGGUCUACUCAGAGGCAUGAUGUUGACCAGAUUUUAUGAAACACCCAAGAAUGUAGAGAACAUUCUGUCUUUAAAACCUUGAAUUCAAAACAUAUCAGAGAGAGAUUUACUUCCCUUAUAUGGAUGUCUGUGUUCUCAUUAGGAGAGAAACAAUGAAAAAUGACUUUUCACAAUGCCUGCCUUAGCCGUGAGGCUCAGCCAACCCCCACUUCUAUGUCUCAGCAUUUAAAGGGCAAUUGAAGUCCCACUCCAUGCUAUAUACUCUCAAGAGGUUUUCUCAUUUACCCUUCAGAACAGCUCUGUAAAGAUGGUAUGGUCAGUCCCAUUUCACAGAUGACUAAGCUCAGGCUCACAGAGCCUAAGUCACCCCUCCAGGUAAGUGGCAGGGUUGGAAUGAGGUUCUAUUCCUCACCCUCCCUAGAGAACCCUGAGCAGCUUCCGUUUUAGAAGAUGGGUUUCCAGGGCUUGAGAAAUGGUCAGAUUCCCCCCUGAUAUUGUGGCCCCACAGGUCCUCACUCCACAACCCCUCUGGGUGAUGAGGAAGACAGAAGAGGUGAAAUCCUGCGCUUUGUGCCAUGAGAUCUGGGUGUAGGGCCACAGGAGUUAGCUAAUCCUUGAAGUGGUGAGUGGGCUCAGGCAGAAGCUCAAGUGUUGGCCUUGGGACAGAUGCAGUGGAUCCCCAGGUUGCAAGUCAUAUAACCUGAGCAUGCCCAGAUGAACCAAGUAUGCCUGAUUGGUGAACCUGGAACUGGCCAGAACAGAAAAUGUCAACCACAUGUGGAAUCUAAGUAUUCAGAUUGAGAAAUGAGGACCAAAAUGAGAACACUGAGCUCCUCACACAGGUGACUGAACCCGUGGUUUUGGUGUCUGAGAAGAUGCAGCUUCUCCAGUCUCUGCAACUGACGGCAGGAAGAUGGGAGCACUCAGCUUCAGUGUUCAGAAGCAGAUUUAGGCCAAUUGCCAUACCUUACGUUCUGGAGGGAUCCACCCUGACCUGAGCAGAAGGCAUCACACACAUUCCCAAGCAGCAUGGUUCCCGUGAGAAACUGAAAACUAAUUUCUUGAAUCUACAAUGCGA